AACCAACAGGGAUUACCUCAGUAACGGCGAGUGAAGCGGUAACAGCUCAAAUUUGAAAUCUGGCUCUUUUAGGGUCCGAGUUGUAAUUUGUAGAAGAUGCUUCGGGUGUGGCUCCGGUCUAAGUUCCUUGGAACAGGACGUCAUAGAGGGUGAGAAUCCCGUAUGUGACUGGUAGCUUUCGCCCAUGUGAAGCUCUUUCGACGAGUCGAGUUGUUUGGGAAUGCAGCUCUAAAUGGGUGGUAUAUUUCAUCUAAAGCUAAAUAUUGGCCAGAGACCGAUAGCGCACAAGUAGAGUGAUCGAAAGAUGAAAAGCACUUUGGAAAGAGAGUUAAACAGUACGUGAAAUUGUUGAAAGGGAAGCGCUUGCAACCAGACUUGCAUGCCAUUGAUCAUCCCAGGUUCUCCUGGGUGCACUCGGUGGUGUUCAGGCCAGCAUCGGUUUUGGUGGUUGGAUAAAGGCCUUGGGAAUGUGGCUCCUCUCGGGGAGUGUUAUAGCCCUCGGUGCAAUGCAGCCUACCGAGACCGAGGACCGCGCUUCGGCUAGGAUGCUGGCGUAAUGGUUGUAAGCGACCCGUCUUGAAACACGGACCAAGGAGUCUAACAUCUAUGCGAGUGUUUGGGUGUCAAACCCAUACGCGUAAUUAACGUGAACGGAGGUGAGAACCCUUUAGGGUGCAUCAUCGACCGAUCCUGAUGUCUUCGGAUGGAUUUGAGUAAGAGCAUAGCUGUUGGGACCCGAAAGAUGGUGAACUAUGCCUAAAUAGGGUGAAGCCAGAGGAAACUCUGGUGGAGGCUCGCAGCGGUUCUGACGUGCAAAUCGAUCGUCAAAUUUGGGUAUAGGGGCGAAAGACUAAUCGAACCAU
rnacentral:rRNA from 1 species